rnacentral:rRNA from 1 species
ACGGAGGAUCCAAGCGUUAUCCGGAAUCAUUGGGUUUAAAGGGUCCGUAGGCGGUCUUAUAAGUCAGUGGUGAAAUCCCAUCGCUCAACGAUGGAACUGCCAUUGAUACUGUAAGACUUGAAUACUUAGGAAGUAACUAGAAUAUGUAGUGUAGCGGUGAAAUGCUUAGAUAUUACAUGGAAUACCAAUUGCGAAGGCAGGUUACUACUAAGUGAUUGACGCUGAUGGACGAAAGCGUGGGGAGCGAACAGGAUUAGAUACCCUGGUAGUCCACGCCGUAAACGAUGGAUACUAGCUGUUCGGAGCAAUCUGAGUGGCUAAGCGAAAGUGAUAAGUAUCCCACCUGGGGAGUACGCACGCAAGUGUG